rnacentral:rRNA from 1 species
UACGGGGGGGGCAAGCGUUGUUCGGAAUUACUGGGCGUAAAGGGCGCGUAGGCGGCCUUCUAAGUCGGACGUGAAAUCCCUCGGCUCAACCGAGGAACUGCGUCUGAUACUGGAAGGCUUGAAUCCGGGAGAGGGAUGUGGAAUUCCAGGUGUAGCGGUGAAAUGCGUAGAUAUCAGGAGGAAUACCGAUGGCGAAGGCAGGUCUCUGGGCUGACACUGACGCUCAUGCACGAAAGCGUGGGGAGCAAACAGG